ACAUCUUAGAUGUCACUAUUUUUUGAGAAAAUAACAGCCUCCUUGGAACAGCGAAGAUUCGCGGCACUAUCCCUAUGCUCAUAUCGAGGGCUGCUCCUUCUCUUGUCUCUUUUUCCGAACCCCCAAUACAAUACCUUGGCUUCAUUGUUUUCAUGCUUUGUCUUCCUGAACAAAAUAAAAACCUAUUUCAGUGUUGUUGAGUGUUAUGGACUCCAACUUCCCCGGUGCUUCGGAAGACCAGGGCACACCGUAUCUCUCAGACUCGCUUGGUUUUGCAACCAUGGAAGACAACGACUUCUCAGAAACUGCAAAGUUCAUUAGCCAGAUCCUCAUGGAAGAAAACGUUGACCAGAAGCCAUUCUAUGACUCACUCACCUUGCAAGUUACCGAGAAAUCCUUCUACGAUGCUCUCGCCGGCAACCUACCUCUUUCUCCCGAUCAACACCCCGUUCUUCUCAGUCCCGAAGCUGAAACCACCACCACCACCACCACCAGCAGCAGCAGCAGCAGUAGCAACAACAAUUUUUCAGAUGAAUAUUCUCGUGAGUUGAAGCUCCGUUCUCCGGAUUCUAUUUCUGUUUCUGCUUUUCAGUUUAAAUCUCAACCACCGCCUUCAGUUACUGUUAGUGACGCAGUCUCAGAUUUGGAUUCUUCUAUUGCCAAACUCUUAGCCCACAAUAUUUUCAAUCAUGUUGAUUCUGUUUCCCAGUUUAGAAGAGGCUUCGAGGAAGCUAGUAAAUUUCUUCCUCCGGGGCCUAACCUUGUAACUGCUCUACAUUCAAAGAGAGAAGAACCAAUCAAUUCUUUUGGAGACAAUUCCUAUGGGUUGUUGAAGGGUAGAAAGAAUCACCAGCGCCAAGAGAUAGAAACUAGAGAAGAAGGAGAAGGAGAGAGAAGUAACAAGCAAUCAGCACUUUCCCUUGUUGAUGAGAGUGACCUGUCAGAUGCUUUUGAUCGGCUGUUGCUUCAUGAAGGAAACCUGUGUGACGAACACAUUCGUUUGACGAGUGGAUCAGUGAACGUUGAGGAACGAGAUGGAGGUAAGGGUCGUUCAAAGAAACAAGGGAGGAGGAAGAAGGAAACGGUGGAUUUGAGGAAUCUUCUAUUGAUGUGUUCACAAUCUGUGUAUGCCAAUGACAACAGGACUGCCAAUGAAUUGCUAAAACAGAUUAGGCAACACUCUUCUCCCGUUGGGGAUGCAUCACAGAGGUUGGCUCAUUACUUCACCAAUGGCCUCGAAGCACGCUUGGUUGGGGAUGGCACAAGUGCACAAGGAAUGUAUACUUUUCUGAGCUCUAAGAACAUCACUGUUGCUGAGUUUCUCAAGGCAUACCAGGUUUUCACUUCCUCCAGCCCUUUCAAGAAGUUUAUACAUUUCUUUGCAAAUAAAAUGAUUAUGAAAGCAGCUGCAAAGGCAGAAACCGUUCAUAUUAUUGAUUUUGGGAUCCUAUACGGUUUCCAGUGGCCAAUACUCAUUAAGUUUUUCUCAAAUAGGGAGGGUGGACCUCCCAAGCUUAGGAUCACAGGGAUAGAGUUUCCCCAACCUGGCUUUCGCCCCGCAGAAAGAAUUGAGGAAACAGGUCACCGUCUGGCUAACUAUUGUAAGCGUUACAAUGUUCCCUUUGAGUACAAUGCCAUAGCAUCGAAGAACUGGGAAAACAUUCAGGUUGAAGCCCUCAAAAUUCAGAGCAACGAGCUAGUUGCUGUCAAUUGUCACUUGAGGUUUGAGAAUUUACUGGAUGAGUCUAUUGAAGUGAACAGUCCUAGAAAUGGAGUCCUUCAUUUGAUCAGGAAGAUAAAUCCGGAUAUUUUUACUCAGUCCAUCACUAAUGGAUCAUAUAAUGCCCCUUUCUUUGCCACGCGGUUUAGGGAGGCUCUCUUUCAUUAUUCUGCUAUUUAUGAUUUGAUUGACACAGUCAUACCUCGUGAAAACGAAUGGAGGUUGAUGCUUGAGAGAGAGCUUUUGGGCAGAGAGAUUAUGAAUGUUAUAGCAUGUGAAGGUUCUGAGAGGAUUGAGAGGCCUGAGACAUACAAACAGUGGUAUGUUAGGAAUACGAGGGCUGGUUUCAAGCAGCUCCCGCUAAAUGAGGAAUUAAUGGCCAAAUUCAGGACUAAGUUAAAGGAAUGGUACCACAGAGAUUUUGUCUUCGAUGAAGAUAACAAGUGGAUGCUUCAAGGUUGGAAGGGCCGCAUUUUGUAUGCUUCCACUUGUUGGGUGCCAGCAUAAUGAGAUGCUACUGGACUUGGCUUAUAACUAAUAUUAGACUAAAGGUUCUGGUAUCCUGUGUUUGGCUACCUACUUGCUUAACUUUCGGGCUGUGAUAAAAGAUUGUACCAAGUUUUGCACGAAGUCACUUGCAACUUCUGUGAAACUCAUGAUUUCCCCUCAGCAUCUCUAGAAUUUUCUGGUAGCUAAGAUGCUUUCUUAUUUUAAGUACCAUUACCAAGUUGAUAUGGCCUAUUCACAUAACCUGAUAAUGUGUUGGUCCUGAAAGCUUUUCCCCGUGAUUGUUUGCAUGCUUGCUGAGUAAUCUGUUGGAUGUGGCUCGUAUUGCGAAAUAUGCAUGACAUGAAUUGCUUAAAUGGAGCUGGCAAUUUCUUUCAAUGCUUGUAGUCUAUGAAAAGUUAAUGAUAAUAUGAAGUUUUGUGAAUAUUUUUUUGCCUGACAUAAUCUUUCAAUAACUCGAGAACUUGAUAGAUCAAAAGCUACUGGUUUAUUAUCAUUGAUUAAUGAAAUAAGCAAAGUUCACAACA